rnacentral:rRNA from 1 species
UACGUAGGUGACCAGCGUUGUCCGGAUUUACUGGGCGUAAAGAGCGCGCAGGCGGUCGUUCAAGUCGAGUGUGAAAGCCCCCGGCUCAACUGGGGAGGGUCGUCGGGGACUGGCGGGCUUGAGGUCGGCAGGGGUUGGUGGAAUUCCCGGUGUAGUGGUGAAAUUCGUAGAUAUCGGGAGGAACACCGGUGGCGAAGGCGGCUACACUGGCCCGAUACUGACGCUGAGGCACGAAAGCGUGGGGAGCAAACAGG